CACGUAGGGCGCAAGCGUUGUCCGGAAUUAUUGGGCGUAAAGAGCUCGUAGGCGGUCUGUUGCGUCUGCUGUGAAACUCGGGGCUUAACCCCGAGCCUGCAGUGGAUACGGGCAGACUAGAGGUAGGUAGGGGAGAAUGGAAUUCCCGGUGUAGCGGUGAAAUGCGCAGAUAUCGGGAGGAACACCGGUGGCGAAGGCGGUUCUCUGGGCCUUACCUGACGCUGAGGAGCGAAAGCGUGGGGAGCGAACAGG
rnacentral:rRNA from 1 species